rnacentral:rRNA from 1 species
CCUACGGGUGGCAGCAGUAGGGAAUAUUGCUCAAUGGGGGAAACCCUGAAGCAGCAACGCCGCGUGGAGGAUGAAGGUUCUCGGAUUGUAAACUCCUUUUGUUAGAGAAGAUAAUGACGGUAUCUAACGAAUAAGCACCGGUAAACUCCGUGCAAGCAGCCGCGGUAAUACGGAGGGUGCAAGCGUUACUCGGAAUUACUGGGGGUAAAGGGCGCGUAGGCGGGAUAGCAAGUCAGAUGUAAAAUCUUAUGGCUUAACCAUAGAACGGAGUUGAAAACGGAAAUGUGGAGGUUUGGAGAGGUAGGUGGAAUUCGUGGUGUAGGGGUGAAAUGCAUAGAGAUCAAGAGGAACUCCGAUUGCGAAGGCGGCCUGCCGGGG